AGCAGCGUAAUUACAGCUACAGCCUCUCUGGACGCUAAAUCUAAUGGCCGGAUUAGUCUCGUUUCCAUUAUCUUCAUCGUCUUCACGAAUAGCCUUUCUUGUGUUGUCGCCAUCGCCCUUGUUCUCAUCAUGAAACCAGGAAAUGGAGUGAACUCAAAAGUAACAGAGACGAUAUCUUCAACUGGUAUAGAAACAUCGGAUAUAUUUGCAGAUUUGCUAAG